UUUAUACCCGGUACUCGAAGAGUAAUUACGGUAUAUUUUAUUUGUUCAAAAAAGUGGAUGUAUGUAACGCACAGAAGGCAACAUUUCCCAGCGUGUUGGCGUGAGAAGUGAUGUAUAUGUAGAUGACACAUGUAGAAAAAUUUUACAUUAUAAAAUUCGCAAAAAAAUAACACUAAGGAACAGAUCACACUCUUUAACAAGUCUACAAAAAAUUAACAGCAUUACUUAUGCGAAAAUGUAUACUUUCGGUCUCGAUGCAUCUUUGAAACUCUUCAUAAAAGUUUCGUGAUUGUUAGCCCUAAAGUUUUAUAUAUUCGAAUUGCGACUUACUUAAGACGUGAUGUCUCAGCCACCUAAUCGCAU
rnacentral:lncRNA from 1 species